CUCAGUUCGGAUUGGAGUCUGNAACCCGACUCCAUGAAGCUGGAUUCGCUAGUAAUCGCGCAUCAGCCACGGCGCGGUGAAUACGUUCCCGGGCCUUGUACACACCGCCCGUCAAGCCAUGGGAGCCGGGGGUACCUGAAGUGCGUGACCGCAAGGAGCGCCCUAAGGUAAAACCGGUGACUGGGGCUAAGUCGUAACAAGGUAAC
rnacentral:rRNA from 1 species